AGCUUGCUAUUUUUAUGAAGAGCGGCGAACGGGUGAGUAACGCGUGGGAAAUCUGCCGAGUAGCGGGGGACAACGUUUGGAAACGAACGCUAAUACCGCAUAACAAUGAGAAUCGCAUGAUUCUUAUUUAAAAGAAGCAAUUGCUUCACUACUUGAUGAUCCCGCGUUGUAUUAGCUAGUUGGUAGUGUAAAGGACUACCAAGGCGAUGAUACAUAGCCGACCUGAGAGGGUGAUCGGCCACACUGGGACUGAGACACGGCCCAGACUCCUACGGGAGGCAGCAGUAGGGAAUCUUCGGCAAUGGGGGCAACCCUGACCGAGCAACGCCGCGUGAGUGAAGAAGGUUUUCGGAUCGUAAAACUCUGUUGUUAGAGAAGAACGUUAAGUAGAGUGGAAAAUUACUUAAGUGACGGUAUCUAACCAGAAAGGGACGGCUAACUACGUGCCAGCAGCCGCGGUAAUACGUAGGUCCCAAGCGUUGUCCGGAUUUAUUGGGCGUAAAGCGAGCGCAGGUGGUUUCUUAAGUCUGAUGUAAAAGGCAGUGGCUCAACCAUUGUGUGCAUUGGAAACUGGGAGACUUGAGUGCAGGAGAGGAGAGUGGAAUUUCAUGGGUAG
rnacentral:rRNA from 1 species